UUAAAUUGUAAUAAUUUAACUUUGUGUCUCUAUUCUGCAGAACUUAAAAAUGUGAUAAAUAGAUUAUAACAUGUCUUUUCCAUAUUGGCCCUGGUAUCAUCCCUCGACCCAUAUCGGCCCUCGGCUAAAGCCUCGAGGCCGAUAUGGGAGUCUCGGGAUGAUACCAGGGCCAAUAUGGAAAAGGCCAUGUUAUAAUCUAUACAUAUAUAA
rnacentral:lncRNA from 1 species